CCCUUAGAUGUUCUGGGCCGCACGCGCGCUACACUGAUGCAUUCAACGAGCCUAUCCUUGACCGACAGGUCCGGGUAAUCUUUGAAUCUGCAUCGUGACGGGGAUAGAUUAUUGCAAUUAUUAAUCUUCAACGAGGAAUGCCUAGUAGGCGCAAGUCAUCAGCUUGCGUCGAUUACGUCCCUGCCCUUUGUACACACCGCCCGUCGCUCCUACCGAUUGAAUGGUUCAGUGAGAUAAUCGGACAGAUAACUUGGCAACUGGCAACAGUUGACGUGCAUAUUUGGAAGACGAUCAAACUUGGUCAUUUAGAGGAAGUAAAAGUCGUAACA
rnacentral:rRNA from 1 species